GAUGAACGCUGGCGGCGUGCCUAAUACAUGCAAGUCGAGCGAACAGACGAGGAGCUUGCUCCUCUGACGUUAGCGGCGGACGGGUGAGUAACACGUGGAUAACCUACCUAUAAGACUGGGAUAACUUCGGGAAACCGGAGCUAAUACCGGAUAAUAUAUUGAACCGCAUGGUUCAAUAGUGAAAGACGGUUUUGCUGUCACUUAUAGAUGGAUCCGCGCCGCAUUAGCUAGUUGGUAAGGUAACGGCUUACCAAGGCAACGAUGCGUAGCCGACCUGAGAGGAUGAUCGGCCACACUGGAACUGAGACACGGUCCAGACUCCUACGGGAGGCAGCAGUAGGGAAUAUUCCGCAAUGGGCGAAAGCCUGACGGAGCAACGCCGCGUGAGUGAUGAAGGUCUUCGGAUCGUAAAACUCUGUUAUUAGGGAAGAACAAAUGUGUAAGUAACUAUGCACGUCUUGACGGUACCUAAUCAGAAAGCCACGGCUAACUACGUG
rnacentral:rRNA from 1 species